UUGAUUUCAAUAGCAUUAUGAUACUAAUAAUGACUAUAAUGCACAUGUAAUUGUGGAUUAUGAAUUUUACAUUAGUAUCAUUGGUUUAGAGAAAUCAUCACAGUUUCAAGUAUAGAAACCAAGACUGAAGAUAGAAAAUUUACUUCAUGUGCUGUUGCCACUGUUUGCUCCUCUAGAAAAAUAAUAUUUAUCUCCUGCUGCUUUGAUGUUAUGGGUUCAAAAUCUUCUGAGAGGAAAGAUAGGAUAUUGUCUUCUCUGUGAAGACAGAGCUGAAUUAGAUCUUCAGGUAUGAACUGUCCUUGCACCUCCAUAUUCCCAAGUGAGAGCCCACUGGAGUGAGCUUUUUGAUCCGUUGUUUUGAUGCAGACCCUGGGUGAGUCCCAGCGAAGGCAUGUGACCUGACACAUGGAUUAAAAACAUAAUGAGAAUUCUUUGGGUUUAUGAUUCUGAAAUUGAAGAUGAAUCAACAUCUUGAUUGGAUACCUUCUGCUUUAUGACAUUGUCUAAGAAUAUGUAAGAUUUUCCACUUCCAUUAUAGUGCUUUGAAUUCAUAUUGUUAUUCUCUACCAUGCAGUAUUCUCUACUAUGGUUACUGCUACUUGAUAUACUUUUAAAAUUAAGUUAUUGGCAAAUUAGAAUCAGUUUAUUCACAGAAUCAUAAAAUAUGGAGAGUUGGAAGGGACCCACAAGGAUCGUCAAGUCCAACUCUUAGCCCUGCACAGGAUGUCUCCAAGAGUCACACCGUGUGCCUGAGAGCACUGUCCAAACACUUCUUGAACUCUAUCAGACUUGGUGCUGUGACCACUUUCCUGAGGAGCCUGUUCCAGUGCCCAACCACCCUCUGAGUGAAGAACCUUUUUCUAAUAUCCAAACUAAACCUCCUCUGCCACAACUUCAGGCCAUUCCAUCAGGUCCUGUCCCUGAUCACCACAGAGAAGAGAUCAGUGCCUGCCCCACCUCUUCCCCUCCUAUGGAAGUUGUAGACAACAGUGAGGUCUCCGCUCAGCAUCCUCUUCUCCAGACUGAACAGACCAAGUGACCUCAGCUGCUCCUCAUAUGGCUUCCCCUCGAGGCCCUUCACCAUCUUUGUUGCCCUCCUUUGGACACUCUCUAAGAGCUUAAUAUCCUUCUUAUAUUGUGGCACCCAAAACUGCACACAAUAUUCAAGGUGAGGCUGCACCAGUGCAGAGCAGAGCAGGACAAUCCCCUCCCUCGACCAGCUGGUGAUGCUUUGCCUGAAGUUCCCCCGGACACAAUUGGCCCUCCUGGCUGCCAGGGCACUGGUGACUCAUUGUGAUGUAUUAACUGCUUUUAAGUUUCUCCCUGGCCUUUUGGGUACAGUUUUGCUUUAUAAGGCUUUACAUUGUUCAGGGCUUGCUGCCAUAAAGAACAACCUGUUUCUUCCAGUUAUUCAAUUAUUACUUAUUGUUUGUAUUAUUGUUACACUUAGUAGUAGUAGUAGAUAGAGGACAUGUUCUAGAUAUUGUACAGGGAAUGAAAAGAGGGACUCUGUCCCCUCCACAGAACCAAACUUAGAACAAGAGAAAAUAGAUGAUGCCACAGUCAGAGGCAUGUGAUCUGAGCAACCAUUGGUUUUCAGGAUAUGAAAUGAGAGACUUCAAGAUUUACAUGUAGAAAUUCCUCUUUGCUCAUCUGAAAGUGACUUUUCUGCUGAAACUCUAUGAUGAAAAAAACCCCAAUCAUAAAAAAUGAACUGAAAUAUCUUUUUUUUCUGUUCUUGAAAAUUUUCUCCAGGUGGAAAAAUCGUUUGCAUCUGCUUCUUCCCCAGAGGACAGUGGGAUGAGAGAAGGCUGUUUGGGUCUUUCGACAUAGACGGCAAAAACACAAGGAUGCAUACUGUAAACUGUACAACUUUGGAUCAAUAUUGAGCAAUUUUAUAGUCAAUAUCCCUGAUUUUGGCUUCUUCCAAGUAAUACCUAAUAGCAAUUACUAAGCACGUCAUCAGUGCUUCUCAAAAUUUAGAGUUGACCUUGUUGUAGGUGACCUGUGUUAAAGGACAGCUUCCCUCUAGAAGCACUGUGAGAAGCUAUGUUAUAAACAAACUGAAACCAUGGCUCCCUGCUUAGCAUUUUAGAGGUAGGAUGUGGAAAAUGCCCUGACAUUGGUUCUCUUUCCUGCUCGUCAGAUGUCAGGUUACUGCUAUUGCUUUUACUUGGUGUUUGCUCUAUCUGCAGUUGGUCUGAAUUUGUUUGAGCACUGCAAACUAUUAGGCAGUGUGAACUUAAGGCAGAGUGACACUAAGUAGGGUUGAUUCUGUGUUAUUAGAAGAUUUCUUAUUGUUUGGGCACACUGUUGUGGAGUGAAAUCUCACCAUCUAUUUAAAAGUAGAGAUGCGAAAAGUUUAACAGCUUAGAGAGGCAUAAUUUUCUCCGAUUUGAUGUUUCAGUAUGUCCUAUUGCAGAAUUUGAUACUCGUUUGGCAUGAUUUCUCUGUGUGCAAUUUGUCAAAAUUACUUAAGCAAAACAUGAUUUGAAAGGGUGGCAUCUUAAGCAGAGGUGAAAAGGCAGCUCAGAAAUUCUUUCCUAACCCAAAUAUAGUUGCCCCAGGGUAGACCUGCCCUAAAACUGGAUGAUUAAUCUUCUCAAUGUCUUGAAGUCACCAGAAGUAUUCCUGCAUUUCACUGUGUAUAGAACGUAUUAACUGAAAUAUACUUUAAUAGCCUCCCUGGUUCAAGUAAAAAUAAUACUGCAAUUGUUUAUUACAAUCCAGAAUUAGAUUCGCACAGGUCUAGAGGAAUGUACAUUACGCCAUAUGGAAAGCUGCUCUUCUGAAAACCCCCUGCAUGUGGGUUUUCAGAAAAUGAGGACAUUUGGUGAAGUUUCAGCUUUCACAGAUGAAAGGUAAGAAAGAUUUACAUUUAUACAUAAACAUGCACAGCAUGAGGGAGGCUCGUCUGCCUCACAGCUUGCAGUAAGUGUUCAAAUGAAAAUGAACACUUCUUAGGAGUACUAUUCUGGGAAGUGCUGAGUCCAUGCUGCUCACUGCGCCAGCAGCCCCAAGAGCAAUACACUUCAGAUGUAUGCCACAGCAUGCUCUGGCUAACAAGCGUAUCCUCAGCUUCAAAGGGUUAUGGACUUCUACAAAUUUUUUAUUGAUCAUACAUGAAAGAGCUCAGUAGCUAGUGGUGGAGGUUCUACCAUAUUUCAGAAACAUCCAGGCCUAGAGAGAGACACAGGUUGGUAAUGAAACAAAAUUAGCACAAUUACUAACCCAACAAGAGGUGAGGAGGUGGGAAGAGUCUGGGCCAUAGAUCUGCCUUGUUCCUGGGAUAGAUGGGAGAAAUGGUGUUACAGAUUCAUGUGAUACUGUAGGAUCCUCUUAUUGGGAAUGGCAAGGAAUUUCUUGAUGGCAAUCAACACCUUUGAUUUUAGCUCAUAUCCGUUGGUGAGUUUUGCCCCUGCUAACAAUUCUGCUUCAUGGGUGUGUUCGGGGUUCUGGCACCUAAGCAUUCUCUAUGAGGUUUAUGUUCACUUCGAAUACUUGGGUAAUUUUUGGUUGACAAAGAACCAAACUGUGCCUGUUUGUUGAGCAGAAGAAUGAAUCCCUACCAGGGAGAAAACAAAUCCCCAAAACAGAUCCCCAGGAUGCUUCUUAGAGCCAUAAGCUGUUAGAGACAGUUAGGUGUUCUUGGGACAAUCUAAUGCCCUGUUAGAGGGAAUCAAGAGAGUACUAAAAAGAAAUCACAAGGCUACUGUCUUUGCCCCCUCUAGGUCUUACUCAAAAGGGAAUCACUUGGUCUCAUAUUUGCUGCUUUUUAGUAGGUAGCAGUGGGACUUAAGAGACCUGACAUCAGUGAGGCCUUGAGUUUAGUCUUACCUCCUUCUGCAAGGGGCAAUGCUAACCAAAGAUUGGAAUCUUGCAGCUUGGGCUUGGCUUUGCCAUCUUUAUAACAAUUUAUAGGCAUUUUGCCAAAAAAUUAGCAUAACGUACCAGGACUGCCUCUAGGCCUAUUGCUGCAUGAGCAAAGCCUCUUUAUCUGCUUCUCCAAGUUUGUUGCUGAAGGCUACAGUUGCAGGAGGUAAUGGUUUGCAUGAGGUUGUUUGUACCCUGUUGUUUGAAUAGAGCUUGCAGUGAGCCUGAACGAAACUUGCUGUUCUUGCCUCGUUUUCUGUUAAAACAUUUUCAGAUCAUCUUCUAGUAUUACUGCAAGUAUAUUUGCAUCACACUUAAUCAGUAUGAUUAAUCUACCAUUUUUCACAGGUGACAAUCUUCUGUAUUAGGAAAAUGCCGGGUCCUUGUUUAGAUGUCACAACAUUUCUUCCCAUAUCAGUUCCUAUUUUGAGGAUUAAUUAAAUUUGAUUUAAAUGAUGUCAUACCCUGGGAUUAACAUUCUUUUUAUUUGAGAGUAGAUAAAUAUUUCCUUCUUUAAUGUGAUUUAUUGUUGGGCUGAGCAAGAGUUAUGUGCCUGGAAGAAGGUUAAAGUUUAAAACAAGUAAAUAUGCAGCCAUCUGCUCAAUUGCUUCUCGUCCAUAUAGGGCAGAAAUUUGUAAGAUACCCAGUUUAUCUUACUGGGUAAGAUAAAUUUAACUAGAUUAAGACCAUGUCUUUGCUGUAGCUAAUAGUAGAGUAUCUGAGCAGGUUUAAAACUAGAUUGCUCAAGUACCACUGGCAGCUUCAAUGUGCCAGCAUGGUACUCCAUCUGAGCUGUGAAACCUGGUGGCAUGACUUUGGGGAAGCUCUAAUGACUCACGGGGUUUCCCCACUGCUCUGUUGCAUGCCACCAACACCCAGUGCCAGUCAGACUGCUCAUGCAUGUACCUGAACUAUCUACUAGGCCUUCAAGGAGUCUGAGAGGGAAUUUGUUGUCUUUGGGAUCACCCCUCAUUUUGGUGUAUUUCAGUCUCUACUUUUCCAGCUCCCCUCAAAUCACACAGAAAUAUGCUAGGUUCUUUCUUUUUUGUUUACCUACAAAGCUUUCAGGUUGCUCACUGAGUCAAGUUCUUCAGUGAGUCUCACACUCACAUUUGCUUGUCUUGAAAUGGAUUCUGGUUUGGGUUCAAACUUAUUGUCACAGUUUUUCUCCACAAGCCUGCAAGGAAAAGUUUAAGGAAGCUCACAAGUGACACUCUGUAAAGCUCUUUAUGGACUUUUUGAGUACAGUUUAUAACUGUAAAAUGUAGCAUCUGAAAAUGAAAUUUUAUGUGAACGUAUUAUUUGAGUAUCCCGAGUCAGAAUGUUUAUGUUGUUUAUGUUUAUAUUUAUAAAAAGGUGAAAAAUGUAAGUGAUUACUGGUGCUUUAUAGGUAGUACCUAUGAAGAUACCAAAAUAAAUCUAGGAGCAAUAACGUAUUGGUGGCAAAUGACUCCUCUCUUUUCCUGUGGUCCCCCAGCUCAGGCUUUCUGACAGUGGGAUACCAUGAUGUGUGCUAGAAAGCUGAUAAAACCUCUGACAAUUAGGUCUGUGCUGUUGGCAACACCACUGAUCUUUGCACAUCAAACAGCAUUUUACACUGAGCAGAUAUUGUCACAAAAUCUUUACUUUGAAGGUGCCCAGUUCAGCUGAAAGACUGGCUUCAUGGUGCAGCUUCUCAUUGUUUGUUCCUGGCCCAAUGGCACUCAUACUUCACUACUCUGUUUUGGGGGAUGUGGAGGAAACUGAGCCUUUUGUGAAUUUUGACCUUUUUUUCUUUUUUAUUCCAUUAUUGUAAACUGCAAUAACUCCAGCUGGUGGUGAAGUAAAGAUACCUUACAUGUGCUCAUGUAUUUUUGAGAGCUCCAGCUAUUGCUUGCGGGAGGUUUUAUACACACACAUAUGUAUAUAUCUAUAAAUAUAAAAUUAAAUACUUUCUGCAUAUUCAUCUGUGAACUCCUAAUAUUAUUCAUUGAGUAGCAAUCAAAUGAGGUAUAUUUUAAAAUGUCUUUUUUUUGUUUCACUGGGCACUGACAUCCAUGUAGUAUCAGGGAGGGUGGCAUUACUAACCCAUACCGUCUGAUGUUCUGCACCUGUUGCUUGUGCUAUUUUUUACUUUUGAUUCUCAAGAAGUGCAGUACUUAACAGAUAUAUUGAAAAAUUGUUUUACCUUGUCAGAUUUUUCUUCAUAUUUGAUGAAUAUGGUCUCACCAGGAAAGAUUUUGAUAGAGGGUUAUUUUUCCCUUCUGCUCAGCGAUUUUGUGCCAGGCUUUAGGAAGUGCUGAUCUGUUUUCUGUCCAGAAAAAGCACUGAAUGAUGGUAUUAAUAUAUAUAUAUAUAUAUACAUAUUAUAUAAGGGGAAAAUGAUCGCAGGGGAUACAUACUAGUGGCUACAGGAAGAGCUCUGUUCACUUCUAAUGCAACUGCUAAUGGGUUUUGCACUAAACUAAUACAAAGUUGUCACAGGCUUAUUGCAGUAACUUGCAAACCAGCCAAGGUCAUGUUUCUGUUAAUUCUGCACAUGCACUCUUUGCAGAAAACUGUUGCUAUAACCUAUCGGAUGGUGUUGAUCACAGGAGCUCUGAUGUGUGUCAUUUUUGAUGAAGUGUCCUCAACUGCUGUCACUUUUCAUGGCAUUGCUAUCUGCAACUGACAACUCCAAACAGUCACUGUGCAGAUUUGCUGCUACCUGGCUUCAUCCACAGCCCUGGCUAGGAAGCAGGUGCUCCCAAAUGGCAGCUUGGGGUGCUCAGAGAGACCGUCCCACCAUCACCUCAAUUUGUGCCAAGUUCAUAGAACACUUCCCACAUUGUUUUGACCUGGCCUAGCUGUUGAUGUGUCAGACAAACUCUGAUUUAGCACAGUCUAGGACUAUUAGGGACAUGGUUUAGUGGUGUACUUGACAGUGCUUAGUUAACAGUCUGACUCGAUGGUCUUAUGGUCUUUUCCAACCUAAAUGAUUCUAUGAUUCUAUAAUUCUGCUCCCUGCAGGCAGUUUGGAUGAGGCAUCUCUGUUUUAGUACAUGGAUGGAGGAGUAUAUCUGCAUGGAUAUAGACUGUGCUGAGCCAGUUGGUCAGAUAAGAGUUCCUCAGCUGUUUUAUUUCCUUGUACAGAUGUGCCGUAAUGGAUAAGCAAAUGAGACUCACUAUCUGUAUUUUAAUUAUUUUUCUGUUAUGUGAGUUUAGAAAAUAUUACAGAAAUGCUUUGAGAUAAAGUAUACAUUGAGAAAAGACUGUGAGAUCCUCAGAAAAUGUGGCUACCGGGACUACUUAAUCACUGUUGAUUAUCUGGAGCACUGUAUUUAAUGAGUCUCUGCCAUUUCUUCUCCUACUCUUCUCCAACUUAGCAUAAAUGACACUCAAAAAUCACGGAGAAGUAAUAAUAUAAUAUAUAGUAAUGCAGAGGAUGCAUAUAAGCCAUCCUCCCCAAAGUAAAUGAUAGGAGAAAAAUAACCAUGUCAUCAAGGGCAUGUAUUACGCUAUUGCAAGGCAUGUGAAUUUUUCAGUUGCUGUAGGAGUGAGUAAGCCUCUUGUUCCUACCCAUUGUUACUCUUUGUUACUUUAUUUGACACAAGGAAAAGCAUUUAUAAGGCCCUCUGAAAAAAUUAGACAGUGUACUACCAUCCAAAAAGCAUCUCUUCCUGCAUACAAGGAGUCCUUUUACUCUCUUCUGCAGUACUUUUAGCACAAAGCCUGACUAGAAGAAUACAGUGGGCUGUCCACCCCUGCUAUUCCAAAGGCUGUCCCUGACCAUGUAGCCACAGCCUGUGGUGUGCCAUAUGCUGUAGCUCAUACAUAGGUCUCAGUCAGCUUAAAAAACACAACACUUGAUUGUGCCAAGUGACAAUAUGUUUGCUCUGGGACUGUGCUCUGCUCUAUAUUGUCUGCCUUUCCAGUACAGUGCCUGGUCCAUGGACAAUGCCCCCUGAAAGACCUUUAUGACCCUGGCAUGAGCCUCCUGGGCCCCCGCUGCUGCUGAUGUAGUGUGUGAUGGAAGAUGCUGUCCUCUUCUGAAGGACAUUCUGGGCUUGUCCCACAGCCAGGCAUACUCCAGCUCCAUCAAGGUCAAAGGCAAUGCCACGCUCUGAGACAGGAAUAUUUAAAGCCCUAAGUGUGCUGGAGCUUGUUUAGUGUCAGAGGAACUCACACAUACUAGCAGCUAAAUAAAUACCAAACUAACUGCAGACUCACAAACAUGGAAAGUCCUUCCCAGCUGAGCUUUUAGUUAGGAAUCACCAUUCCCAAAAUAUCCAUCUAGUUUGUCCCAUGGGUCACCUCAGCUAUCUACUGUAUUAAUGAGACCACUCCAUUCCAAGUGAAAAUACGUGACAGGCAUCAGCAUCCUUUCCAAGGUAGAAGGCCAGGCUGAAUGUUUCCUUUCCAGAUUAAAGGUCAGAUGUGCCAGCAGAGAAUUGCAGGAGCCAGAGCAAGAUGCCACUAACCAGAUAUUUGAAGCAUCUUGGCUCAGGGUGAAGCACGGGAUGGAGGAAUAGGGAUCCAAAGUCCUUAUCUCUCCUGUCCCUCAAGAUGUCACAGCCCUGAGCUCCAGCUCUCUGUGUGCCAUGUGUGCUCUGCCUGUCAGCUUCCAUGGUCACUGUGCAGCAGGUUGCUCGUCCCUCAUACUUGGCAGGGACUAUCUGCUAUUAGCCCUUUUAAAGUGAUUAUUUUGAAGGGCAGCAGCUCAAGGAAGUGGAGUGGGGUUAAGAAUUUUAAAGAUGUUCACAAAAUUACCAGAAUCAGUUGUUGAAAAGCUGUGACUCAGAUUCCUACACCCCACAGCCCCACUCCUCUACCCCAAGUUACUGCUUUUUUCCUUUAAAACAGCAAUUUAUUUUUUCAUCUGGCCCUCCCUCCCCACUGCCUUCUCAUGUCUCCAUACUUUAUUCCUCCACGACAAGAGUUAGAAAUGGAAUCAAUUUACACUAAAGGCCAAACUCCUCACAUGACUGCUGGAACUGUGCUUUGAGUUGGAAAUGGGCAGGAGUUCAGAUAACAACCAGGCAGUCAAAACCAGGGAUAUCAGCCAGGAUUGAGGGUGAAGAGCCCACUCUCAGACCUCAGGCAAAUUCAGAGGGCAGAGGGAAAAGGCAAAAACAGGAAAUAAAAUGUAUUUUAGCAAGGUCAGAGAAGAAGGGCUGAGGAUGAGGGAGUCAAGGAACAAUUUUGUAGUUCUGUACAAAUCUGAGGAGACAUUAAGGAGCAGCAUCAAGAUGUUUGCCUUCCUGAGUCACUAGUGGGAUUGCCUAUGAAGCCAACCAACCAGCUCAUCAAAAGAAGACACUGGAGAAGUAAAAUACCCCUGUGGAGUUUUCAGUGUUUGAAGCCCUAAAUCCUGCUGAGAACCACAGAUAUCAGAUUUACAAUACAUCAUUUUAAAUAAGCUCUUUGCAUCAAGGGAUUCUUCAAACAGAGCAGCAGAUAUUACUAUGUAUAUUUUGCCUGUUUCUUUAUCAAAAAACAAAUAUAAAGCCUGAUUCUGUAACAUAAACUACACUAUCUAGAAGACUAUUGUCUCUGUUAACAUUAAACUGACAUUUGCCUUAUCACAUGAAUGUUAUUUCAUCACUGUACCAAAUUUUAAGACUAGGGCAUGAGCAUUUAAUUUGAAUGACCUGUCAGUUUUAUGUAACUUACAUUUACUUAAAUCAUUCUUGCCUAAAUAAUCUUUUUGUGCAUGUGUAUGUGGCAAGGGUCAAGUACAAAGAACUCUUCUGCUGAGGUUUUCAAGUAGCAAAGUUAUUUAGUCCUAGUAAUGGACUAAAGUAAGCACUUCGCAAAAAGUCUCAGCCCUCUGAGCUAAAAGAGAUUAAGUAGUUUGAUAUCUUCUCUCCUGAUCUUGUUAGAAACUGCCACUUUAUCUUAGCAUGAGAGCAAUACUGUGGGGAAUGAUUUGUGUGGCAAUGUGUUAUGGUUUAACCUCAUACAGCAACUAAGUCCUGCAAAACUACUCACUCACUCCCCCCACAUUGGAUUGGACAGAGAAUUGGAAAAGUGAGAAAGCUUGUGGGUUGAGAUAAAGUCUGCUGAAUAAGUAAAGCAAACCCCAUGCAUGUGAGCAAAGCAAAGCGAGGAAUUAAUCUACUACUUCCUAUAGCUGGCAGGUGUGCAGCCAUCUCCAGAAAAGCAAGACUCCACCAUGCAUAAUGGUGACUUGGGGAGGCAAAUGCCAUUACUCCAAACAUGACCCCCUUCCUCCAUCUUCUCCUGGCUUUAUAUGCUGAGCACAAUGCCAUAUGGGAUUGGUCAGUUGGAGUCAGCUGUCCUGGCCAUGUGUCCUCCCAACUCAUUGUGCACUCCCAGACUCCUUCCUGUUGGGGUGGGGUGAGAGGCAGAACAUACCCUGACUUUACUGUAAGCCCAGCUCAACAGUGACUGAAACAUCCCAGUAUUAUCAACACUGUUUCCAGCACAAAUCCAAAACAUAGCCCUGUACUCUACCCCAGCCAAAAUCAGCACAUUCUCUACCACUUAUUCCAUACCAUUUAUAUCAUGGUCAGGUCCCACACUAUGCAACACAUCUUCCAUAACAAUCCUGCUGUCUUCCCAUCCUUUGAUACACAGAUAUCAUUCCCAUAGCCUGUGGACCACCCCUGCAUGUAAAUGCAUGUAAAAUGUCUACAAAUGUCCACUGAGUUAAUUUAGUCCAUGACUUCAGGCUCCAUCUGUUAUGGUGGUAGCUCAGGAUAAGUGAGGUGGUGUGUUGCAUGGAGUUACUGGGCACCAAAGGCAGCUUGGGCUGGUCACUGCUGCACUUGCACUGCUCCUUGCAAGGCUUGUCCUGCACUAAUUCAGGUGGUUCCUGCUGAUAGCAAGAAGCACAGUACUACAGUGAGCAGUGAAAGUAAAAAUCAGCCACUAAUGAGCACUGGGCUCAUUACAAUCAUACAGUCAGUCAAGCAAGCCCCAUGGCAAGCACAGGAGCCUGUCAAUUAAUAGCUAAACAGCAAGAACAGCUGUAAAUUCAGUCUAGCACGUUUCAAUCUGCCAUUAUCUGGAACCCUUCGAGCCCCACACUGGGAAUCAAAAAGGAUUUUAUGGGUUUAAUCCCAGUUGGCAUGUAAGCACCACCCAGGACGGGGGAGAGAACUGGAAGAGUAUAAAUGAAGAAAACUCCUGGAUUCAGAUAAGCGCAGCUUGAAAAAUUAACUCUAUCCCAGUCAAAACCACCACACAACGAAUACCCGACUGAAAUAACAGAGUUUCUCAAAAUGAGGUCAUUGUAGGUGUCAGCCCUUAAAAGGUUUUCAGCUCUGCAGAAGUACAAGUAGAAGAAACCAGCUGCUUGCAAGGCUCAUAUCAUUCAAUGUAAGUGAAUGAACUGCGAAUAUGCAGAGCUAGCUCUUUACCAAGAAAAUAUUAAAGUGAUUUUACUUGUUAGAAAAAUAUCCAUCUUAAAUUCAUGGCAUUUUUGUAAGGUUACAGUGCUUGGGUUUACCCAGGAAGAUUGCUUUGAGUAGCAACCAAGUGUAAGCUUUACGCUGUAAAGUAAUACUAAUAUAAUGUCAAAAAGUGCUGAGGUUGGUAUGAUGUAUGUGAGAGACAUACAUGUGAGAUUAGCCUGUAAAAUUCAGAUGCUGUAGUGCGUAAAGAAAAACUGGAUCAGAGAAGGCUAGGGAAUAAAAAAGAAUUGGUAAAGGUGAAAGUUUAUGUAUAGAAAGUAUAUAUAUGUUUUGAUAUGUAUCUAAAUCUUCCCCUUAGCUUGCCACUGUAGUUAACAUCUUACCUUGCUAUGCCAUGUUAGAAACCUAAAGAGUAUUAGCAUGCCAUGACAGGUCAUGAGCUAAAGUUGGUCUCGUGGCUAUAUUUUAUUCCUUGAUGGAGAGCAACUGCUUUGGCUUAGUGAUGAAGAGGUAUUAACUCAUACCAGUGUUUGCUUUCUGUUGAGUGAACACUGAACCUCUCAAAGGAAAAUUUGAGAGUUUGACAGGACAGAAAUAUGUUUACCCUCUGCUCUUUUGAAUAACCCAGCUCUUGCUCCAUGCACCACAGACAUCUUAAUAAUCCCUGUCUUCACCAGUCAGGAGUUGGGUCUAGAAAACACUAUUCUUAGGACCUAAUCCUCGUAUGCCUCUUUAAAAUGAAUGUUCAAAUUCACAGAAUCAGAAUGUUCAAAACACUGAAACAUGCAGCAGGAUAACACUUCAUUUUCCUCAUAAAAAAAAGCAAACCCUUCUUGAUUUGAUGUAAGUAUAGACUUCAAAAUCACUUUGCUUUAAAUCAUGAGUUUGCACUUCUGGAAAAUCAGAUGUUCCUUUUUUUUCUAUAUAAGGUGGAAGAUUUUGUUCCUCUUCUCCCCUUCUUUUAUUUUCCUACUUUGCAUCUUCUUAAUCAGUGAGCCUUAGUCCUGUUGUGUUUUCUGAGGAGUGAAUGUUCUAGUGUAGCAAUGGUGCUUAAUAUCUGUACCAAAGCUUAAGCCAACCCGAACAUUUGCAUCUAAGAUGUAUGAGGUUCCUGAUCUAGGUACUAUUUUAAUCAUGGCGCUGCUUUCACAAUCAUUUUACUAAACUAUUAAGAGAGAAAGAGAAUCAUUAGGAAUGACUCUCAGGAAUCUGAUAAAAAACCCACUCUAAAACAUUGUGUAAGGCACAACAUUUGUUUUAAAUAAAGGGAAAUCCUACCAUGACAAUAUUGUGAUUAAAAUGCCAAGAAAAUGGUUUAAUAAACAUCAGAGACAUCAUGGGUAACUCUUGCUUUAAUGAUCACUGAUUAAUUAUCAUGUGGUGCUUAUGCUUAAUGUUUUUUGGACAAAUUAGAAAUUCUGCCUCAGGCCACCAGACACUGCACUUCCAGUACUGCACAAAAUGGAUGUGUGCUAAAGAAUGACAGGAUUUGGAUCAAAAUGCUGAAAGCAAGCCAAUACAACUGCAGAUGCUUGCUCUGUAAAUUGUCCCAGGGGCAUCAUCUGCAGGAGGAAAUUAAAGGUUUUCAAUUGCCCCACAGCACAGCUGUACCAGUAGUUUGUGUGAGAGUCACAUGGUAGGCACAGAAGACACAUUUUAAUUCUACAGUCUCUCACCUUCUUUGGAUAAGGUUAGAGGCUGGAGCUAAACAUCCCUGCAUUUCAGUUGUGGCACCUUGCUUUUGAGAGAUUGCCAGCACAUGCAGCUAAUGCAGUAGUACAUACAUUUGUGUGCACUAAGGCACUUCUUGAGCAGUAGAAGAGCUCAAACAGAGCAACUUAGGUGCUGUUCCUGAUAGAUCUUGUGCAGUCUGUGCUACUAACUCUUCAUAGCUUGUUCUGAAGCUUAUUAAGUUGACAGUAUUUUCUCUCCUGAUUUUUCACUGGUAUUGUGCUUUACAGCACUACCUAAAGUUUUGCAAAAUAUUCAGAAUGAAAUCAGCAAAAUGCAUAUGCCAAAUUGAGAUAUUAGUCUGAUAAACUGAGGGUGCAACUUAUUUACACAUCUGGAGACCAAAAACCUAUGCUUAGUCUAUAGCCAUAUAGAUUUUUCCUCACUCCCAUAAAACUUAGUCUCAAAUUCUAAUUCUGCGAGCCAUUUUUAACCCUGUGAAUAUCAACACAAGUUCUUCUGUUUUCUUACCAUGUAGUUAUAAUGCAUAAUAACCUUUAAUGAGCAAUAAACCUUUAGCCUUUAAUUUUCAAUGGGCAGAGUUCAAACUGUAGUUCUGUUCUCUCAAAUAUUUUAGCAAAGAUUACUGUCUUAGUGUGGCAAGCUCCCCUGGCUGCAUCUCCUCAGUAAUCUUUCUUUCUUAAGAAAGAGAAAUAAGGUCUUAAGUACUUCAUGUAACUAAAGCCUCUGUUAAAUCAUUUUGGCAUAUUAAGAAUAGAUCAGGAGAAAAGUGAAACUCUUUUUCAGCUCUGUUAUAAUCUGAAUUAUUCUAUCCCUACACUUACCAUUGACCAAUGAUCCUUUUCCUUCCCUUAGGGUGUUUUCAGUGAUGAUCUUUUUCUGAUGAGAAAAAACAAUACCUUUUCAAAGAGCAGGUCACUUUGAGGGCACACAGGCUAUGUUUAUGUUAUUUUACUUGGACACAUAUUCCUUUUGUCACUGGGAUUUACAGCACAGCUCUGUGUUUAGUCUUAAGUGACUGCACACCAGUUUUCCCUGAAGGAAAGAAUAAAUGAUUACUGCUGGAGCUGCCCAGCUCUGGUCCUUCCAGAUGGUGUUAACCAGAGAUACACAGCUUGGGUAGCUCGGGACAUGCUGAGCUACCCAGUGGUUUCAAACUGAGCAAGUGCAAUAUUUUUUGAGCCUAAAAGCUGUGAGUUUUUCUGCAGGGCGACAUUAUCCAGCACAGACAUAGAUAGUACUGUCUACCUCCUGCAGGUUGCCAAAAGCAAGCAUGCACUUGCUGGCAAAGGAUAGUAAGCAACUUAUCAGUUACUCAAUAAGGACCACAACUUUCCUCAUAUGAAAAUUUCAGAGGUUUCAUACAAGCAUCUUAUUCAAAUGUCAUCAGUGCUUCAGCUGAAAAGCCCUCUUCUGUCUGUACCUCAGUCGGAGGUACAGUCACAGGACAACAGGAUAAGAACCUCUUUGUCACAAGCAAGGGUUGCAGUCCAGCACAUCCUUCUUUUAUGUCUGAGUUACCCAAUCACCUCAAUUGAUUUAAUGUGUCUCUGUGAAGGUUAUUUGUCACUUAGAGCAAUUUAUCCUCAGGUGCUUUGCAGAUCUACUCCAGUAAUUUGCUGUUAAUUAAUUGUUUACUUAUAUAAUGUUGUAAAUAAAGGGAAAGUGAGGGAAUCCCAUUCAGGUUCCUAAAUAAAAGCCAACUGUUAGGCCAUAUUUACCCUCACUAACUCCUGUUUUUAUAGCUAUAGCGUUGUGAAAGGCUUUGGCUAUUGCUAUUAUAUUUUUUAUUAAAAUCCAGAUGUUUAACAAGGUAACAAUAAGAUCUACUGAGCACUCCUGGCAUGCUGGUUUUAGCUCAUAAAUCAUGAAAUGGUUUGGAUUGGAAGGGACCUUAAGGAUCAUCUAGUUCCAACAUUCCUGCUGUGGAACAGGGACACAUUCCACUAGAUCAGGUUGCUCAAAGCCCCAUCCAACCUGGCCUUGAACACUUCCAGAGAUGGGGCAUCCACAAGUUCUCUGGGCAACCUGUUCUAGUGCCUUACCACCUAGACAGGGAAUAAUUUCAUUCUAAUGUGUAAUCUAAACCUACACUGUUUCAGGUUAGAGCCAUUACCCCUUGCCCUAUCACUUCAUGUCUUUGCAAAAAGUACCUCUCCAGCUCUCUAGUACCUUUAGGUGCUAGAAGGUUGCUAGAAGGUCUUCCUGAAGCCCUUUCUUCUCCAGGCUGAACAGCAUCAACUCUCUCAGCCUUUUCUCAUAGGAGAAGAGUUCUGUUCAUUCUGAUCAUUUUUGUGUCCAUCAUCUAGUCUCACUCCAGAAGGUCCACGUUCUUAUGCUGGGGGUCCCGGAGCUGGACACGGUACUCCAGGUGGGGUCUCAUAAGGGGGAGAAUCAGCUUCUUCAAUCUGCUGGUCACACUCCUUCUGAUGCAGCCCAGGCUUUCUGGGCUGCAAGUGUACAUUGCUUGGUCAUGUUGAGCUUCUGGUCAACCAACAACCCCAAAUCCUUCUCCUCAGGACUGUUUAAAAUGCAUUUAAAGCUAUUACUUUACAAGUGCAUCCAUCAGGUUAGAUCAGUAUGUUUUCCUCCAAAACUGCUUUCUAUGUGUCAAAAAAGAAUAGAGACCUCUGUAGGUGUAAGAAACUGGGAACAAAUAUCAAUGCUUUGAAUAGCCUCCUUUUCUACAAUAUUUCCUUAGUCUGUAAUGUUAAUGUUUAAAUAUUUGUAUCUUUGUAAUCUUGAAUUUAUUCCAUUAAAGAUCAUACCUUUCUUUUCUCA